GAGUUCGACUCACCCGACGUUGACGGCGAGGGCGAGGGCGGCGCGCCUGGGGGGCUUGAGGUUGGAGCGGACGUAGUAGGCGAGGUCGUUGUCGAGGACGCCGCAUGCCGUGCCCACGGGCUCCUCAGGUUUCAGAAAAUAGAAACUAAUGAGGCGGGAAGUUGAACCAACGAUGUUACAGAGAAGGAAUUAAUGAGACAGGAAGCCGAAGAGACAUACGUUACGGGAAAGAAAGUAAUGAGACGGAAAGCCGAAGAGGCAGACGUUAAGGGAAGAAAUUAAUAAAACGGAAAGCCAAAGAGGCAGACAUUACGAGGAAGACGAGCGGUCACAAUAAUCGGAGAGUAAAAAUUUUGAGAAGGAGAGACUAUGAUGUUGCCACGUGGCAAAAAUUUAUGAGAAAUAAUGUAUGUGUAUAGAUGCUACUUUAGGUCUUCUGU
rnacentral:lncRNA from 1 species